AAAUCAUUUAUAGACAAUAUUGGUGUGGUAGUUUGAAUGUAAUUAUCCCCCAGAAUUGGCACUAUUACUAGGUGUGGCUUUGUUGGAGUAGGUGAGGCCUUGUUGGAGGAACUGUGUAAAUGUUGGGGUGGACUUUGAGGUUUCCCAUGCUUAGGCUACCACCCAAUGUCUCAGUCAAUUUCCUGAUGCCUGCAAGAUGAUGAACUCUCAGCCCAGCACCACAUCUGCCUGCAUGCCUCCAUGCUUCCCACCAUGAUGAUAAUGGCCUGAACCUCUGAAACUAUUGAUAACUGCGAAGGCAUCCAGAUUUGGGGGUCUGCCCCCCCUUCUCCUUAACACUCCAGCCUCUGAGGCUGGCCAGGCAUCUGGUGUUUGUUAGAUGGCUGUGGAACAUCUCCUAGCAUUGGAGCGAUUGCAGAGAAGGCUGUGGGGCACAAAAUGGCCUCAUCCGGUUUACAUCUUCAUUACCAACCUCCUCACAUACCUGCUUACAUCUGGAACGAAUCUCCAGACAUACUGGUCUCAAACUGACUAUGUACCGGAGAGUGCCACUGAACUGCUUGCUUCUUCUGCCUUCCCUUUCCUAGUGGUGUGACGACAAGCAAAGUGGUACCAUAUUCAGUGAAGGUUGCCACUGGAAUGGAACCCUAGGCUUCAUGCAUGCCAGGCAAACACUACGUCCUGAGCUUCAUCUCCAGUUACUGCAAUUUACUCAUUUUUUAAUUUUUAUUUUAUAAAUUAAGGGAGAUCCAAAAGGAGGAGGAGGAAGAGAAGGACCUAAGGGAGGCUUCAGCAGGCCCCUUUGCCUUUUUUGUGUGCCCACACAGCCAAGGAGAAGGCAGUCUCUGUAGGGUCGUUCCUGUUAGUGCUCACUUCAACUCUGAGUCCUUUACUCUUGAGUUCAGCUGGGCUGUACCCACAGCUCCUGUUCCAGGCUUCUCCCUCCACCCCACUCCAAAGGAGGUGAGGCAAACCUGCUGUGGUUGAGUUCAUAUGAUGCAUAGAUUAGGUUUCUUGGUAGUUUCUCAUUAUCCUCAUAAAGUUUCUGCAUUUUUUCAUUCCAUUUUACUUUUGAGUCUACAAUUGGAAGUUUUCAAAUGU
rnacentral:lncRNA from 1 species